UAAAACAAAAAAAACAGAUACCUUAUUUACGUAAGUAUUCAGACCGUUUGCUAUGAGACUCAAUUGAGCUCAGGUGCAUCCUGUUCCUAUUGAUCAUCCUUGAGAUGUUUCUACAAAUUUAUUGGAGUCCACUUGUGGUAAAAUUCAAUUGAUUGGACAUGAUUUGGAAAGGCACACAUCUGUCUAUAUAAAGUCCCACAGUUGACAGUGCAUGUCCUCAGUAAAAGGCACAUGAUUGCCCGCUUGGAGUUUGCCAAAAGGGACCUAAAGACUCUCAGACCAUGAGAAACAAAAUUAUCUGGUCUGAUGAACCAAGAUUGAACUCUUUGGCCUGAAUGCCUAGCGUCACGUCUGGAGGAAACCUGGCACCAUCCCUACGGUGAAGCAUGGUGGUGGCAGCAUCAGCGUCGGCCCAAACUCUGAAUGCAAUGCUGCCUGACUACAGUGUAAUUCUGCCAGAAUUACAGCCUGACUGAAGGAUGUUGGUGCUCAUCUAGACUUCCGGCUACCAAUUAAUUAAAGCUGCAUCCCUGCACCUUCUUCUCCCACCGCCUCAAUGCCAUAAAGAGGAACUACAAUGUGGGGAAUCGGGAGCUUCUCGCGGUGAGGAUGGCGUUGGGGGAAUGGAGGCAAUGGCUAGAAGGGGCGGACCAUCCAUUCCUUGUGUGGACUGACCACAAAAACCUUGAGUAUCUCCGCACCGCCAAGCGCCUCUACUCCAGGCAAGCGAGAUAGGCCCUGCUGUUU
rnacentral:lncRNA from 1 species